AGUCGAGCGGACGGAUGGGAGCUUGCUCCCAGACCGUCAGCGGCGGACGGGUGAGUAACACGUGGGCAACCUGCCUGUAAGACUGGGAUAACUCCGGGAAACCGGGGCUAAUACCGGAUAAUUCUUUCCCUCACAUGAGGGAAAGCUGAAAGAUGGCAUCUCGCUAUCACUUACAGAUGGGCCCGCGGCGCAUUAGCUAGUUGGUGAGGUAACGGCUCACCAAGGCGACGAUGCGUAGCCGACCUGAGAGGGUGAUCGGCCACACUGGGACUGAGACACGGCCCAGACUCCUACGGGAGGCAGCAGUAGGGAAUCUUCCGCAAUGGACGAAAGUCUGACGGAGCAACGCCGCGUGAGUGAUGAAGGUUUUCGGAUCGUAAAACUCUGUUGUCAGGGAAGAACAAGUACCGGAGUAACUGCCGGUACCUUGACGGUACCUGACCAGAAAGCCACGGCUAACUACGUGCCAGCAGCCGCGGUAAUACGUAGGUGGCAAGCGUUGUCCGGAAUUAUUGGGCGUAAAG
rnacentral:rRNA from 1 species